CCUACGGGUGGCAGCAGUGGGGAAUAUUGCACAAUGGGGGAAACCCUGAUGCAGCAACGCCGCGUGAGUGAAGACGUAUCUCGGUAUUGAAAGCUCUAUCAGCAGGGAAGAAGAAAGACGGUCCCUGACUAAGAAGCCCCUGCUAACUACGUGCCAGCAGCCGCGGUAAUACGUAGGGGGCAGGCGUUAUCCGGAUUUACUGGGUGUAAAGGGAGCGUAGACGGCUGUGCAAGUCUGAAGUGAAAGCCCGUGGCUCAACCGGGGAACUGCGUUGGAAACUGUAUAGCUUGAGUACGGGAGAGGCAGGCGGAAUUCGUGGUGUAGCGGUGAAAUGCGUAGAUAUUAGGAGGAACACCAGUGGCGAAGGCAGCCUGCUGGAGAGAAACUGACGUUGAGGCUCGAAAGCGUGGGGAGCAAACAGGAUUAGAUACCCGAGUAGUC
rnacentral:rRNA from 1 species